rnacentral:rRNA from 1 species
UACAGAGGUCCCAAGCGUUGUUCGGAUUCAUUGGGCGUAAAGGGUGCGUAGGCGGCGCGGUAAGUCGGGUGUGAAAUCUCGGGGCUUAACUCCGAAACUGCAUUCGAUACUGCCGUGCUUGAGGACUGGAGAGGAGACUGGAAUUUACGGUGUAGCGGUGAAAUGCGUAGAUAUCGUAAGGAAGACCAGUGGCGAAGGCGGGUCUCUGGACAGUACCUGACGCUGAGGCACGAAAGUCAGGGGAGCAAACGGG